rnacentral:rRNA from 1 species
UGGGGAAUAUUGGACAAUGGGCGAAAGCCUGAUCCAGCCAUGCCGCGUGAGUAACGAAGGCCUUAGGGUUGUAAAGCUCUUUUGGCGGGGAAGAUAAUGACGGUACCCGCAGAAUAAGCUCCGGCUAACUUCGUGCCAGCAGCCGCGGUAAUACGAAGGGAGCUAGCGUUGUUCGGAAUCACUGGGCGUAAGGGGCGCGUAGGCGGCAAUUCAAGUCAUCUGUGAAAUCUCCGGGCUUAACUCGGAACGGUCAGAUGAUACUGCUUUGCUAGAGUGCAGAAGGGGCAAUCGGAAUUCUUGGUGUAGCGGUGAAAUGCGUAGAUAUCAAGAGGAACACCUGAGGUGAAGACGGGUUGCUGGGCUGACACUGACGCUGAGGCGCGAAAGCCAGGGGAGCAAACGGGAUUAGAUACCCCCGUAGUCCCUGAGCGGGCUGGCAAGGCGCAU